ensembl:lncRNA
CAUGCUCCCAUAGUUUACUUGCGUGCAAUUUUGCUUAAGACCCUCUCAAGGUCUUCCAAGCCUGUUUGUGCCUUGAAGGGCUUGCACAGAUGAGCCAUGAGUAUUUCUUUACUCGGAGAGCUGCCACAUUUCAGUGGGAAGGUUACCGCUGCCCCUCUUCAGCUGAGAGAGCCCAGACCUUCGUAUUUGGGCCGUGGCAUUCCCUGGCCCACCUUUCCCCACUCAGGGAAAAGGAGGCCCCCACGUGUGCUGGAAGCUCUCCUCACCUGUGUCUGAUUACACUUGUGCCUGCAGGCCCUGCUGGUGAAUCAGCAGAACAGAAUCCUGCCUCUGAGCCUGAAGGGGAUGCUGGAGAUGUGACUGGAGGAGGUGAUCCAGGUUCCGCUCUGAGCUCUGGGACUGAAACUCCGGCAGAUCGCAUGGGAGUGCCCCCAGGGAGGGCUUUGCCCGGUCAUGUGUUUCCUCCUGCGCUGGAGCCCAGCUGGAAUCCCAGCGGUCCGGAAAAAGGAAAGGAUGAACCCAAAAGAGGAGAAUACUCCCAGGGCUCAUCCCGUCUCCUCAAGGAACUGGUGAAGGAAAUGGAGAAGGCAGCGCGUGGAACUGACCAACAAAGUGAGCAGGAUGCACUGCAGGAAGGCAGCCAUCCCACACUGCCAGUCUCGGGCAAAGGAACGCAGGCAGCGCCAACAACUGUCAUGCCAGGGAUGAAUGCCGGGACGAGCACAAAGGCUGCUGUUGGCAGAUCUGCGCGAAGGCGCCACAUCGCAGCGAUGGUACUGUUCUCAGCUGUGCUGCUGUCUGCGCUGGUGCUGGCCUGUGGUGCUGUGAUAUGGAUGUGCCAAAAAUACGUAGUGUGCAAGAGAGAAGAGAGAGCAGCAGAGCAGGCUCAUCCUGAUACCAACUAGGAGAGAGUUCCAACUGGAGACGAGGGCAGAACGGAGCUGGGAGAGGCAGCCGAAGAGACUCUUGCCCCAUCAAAGAAGAAUCUCAGCCAUCGUCCCAGUGCAUUCCAUUCUGCCAUCCAAGAGGCCAAAGGUCUUCAAAGUCAUCUGGAAGACUUGGAGCUUGAACUCAAAGCCGUGAAAGAGGUCCACGGGAACAGUCCUGAGUGCUGCUUUCUGUCAGGGGACGGCCCUGAAAGUGAGAGCGGAGAACCAGCAGCAGAGCUUUUGUCCUUCACCCUGCAUUCUCUGGGACAAGCAUCAGCAACAUUUCAAAGAUUCUUAGCUCGGCAUAGCUACAAUCCUGUUGAGGGUCCUAAUGAGGAGCCAGAAAGCGAGCUUCCUCUGACCGCUGGACAACACCUUAACGUCUUUGGAGCUGUGGAUGAGAAUGGCUGGUUUCAGGGAGAGCUGACAGAUGGCACAAGAGGACUGGUCCCAUCCAGUUUGGUUGCGGAGGUUUCAGAUGAUGAACUGGAUACAACGAUGCCUCCGGAGCUCUGUGCUCUCCUGCUGGAUACUUGAUGAAUAAGUGGAUGCAGAGAUUCCAUCAUGCAGCAACAUCCUGUCAAAAUUCCUGCGUUACUCCAUCUGCAAGACUACCCCCUGCUCCACUUGAUGUUCAGGUGGAGUGUGUGCAGGACGUGGAUGAGCUCCUUUGGGAACACUCUGAGGUGACUGACAGUGUAACUGCAUAGUCUUGUGGUAUAUUAAACAAACAAACAAACAAACACCACCCACAAUAAAACAACCAACCAACCAACCCAAAAAGCGCUGCUCUUUUUCUUGGAUACACUGAGGUGAUCCUUUUUCUAGCUGAGACUUUGCAAUGAGUCUUGAAGCAGAUUUGAGCCGGUAGAAGUUGGCAGUGUCUGCAUUCCGUUCUCCUGAUUUCCUUGCUGGUCAGAGUUAAGGUGCCAUGCAUCCAUUCCCCAGCCCUAGCUGUCUCCUGAAUCAUGAGAACAGCCUUUCCAUAUUGUGGAAAGAACUGGAGUGGAUUCACGCUGAAGGACAAGAUGCUUGCAGACACGUAAGCUCAAGAAGAGAAUGCAGAGUCCACUGGAAACUCGCUGCCAAACAACGAUGAGAAAGUAGAAUAGGCUCCUGUUGUUGAAGAUGGGACGGUGAAACAGAUGUCUCAGCUCAACACAACGCCAGUAGGAGCUGGUUCGGGCUACCCCCCCUUAAAAGGUCGGAAGUUCACAGCGAGGUAGACUACGAGCCUUCAUCCACUGACCGCCAGAGACCCCCACCACAUUUUUAGGACGCGUGCUCAAGAGGGUGGGACAAUACGUUAAUAGUUUCUCAGAAUUCCAGCCCAUUUUUGUGGAACGUAAUGAAUAUGUGGAUGUUAUGUCUGUAAGUAUGUAACCAGUGCUUUUCUCUGUGUGCGAGUUAGGAGGAGAUAUCCCCCCCCGCACCCGGCGCCGUAAUGAGCGUACCUGCUUUGUAACCUUACGUGGGUUCCAGAGUUUGAUUCCACACGUCACUCCCUUCACUAUUAAGAGGACAAAGAACUUCUGGCACAGAAGGAUGCCCACCUGCAAGGCUCAAAUUGCACGCUGCUUCCUCCCUCUCUGCUCAGUAAAACUCUGUGUUGGGCUCAUUUGGAAGGAAGGUUUGGUGUUCUGACUUCCUGGACAGUUGUUACCUAAAGCCUGGAGUGCCUGUGUCAACUGUGGCGGUGCAACUGCCACACCUUCUCUCCCCCUUCUCUCAGGCCUCUCGGUGCACCACUUCUCCUGAGACAAAAGGCGGAGGACCGGUACGUGGAGGUACUCCUCCUCUUCCCUUGCCCCUGCUUGCCUCUGGGUAGCAAGGGGCAAUGAAUUGGAACAUUAGGGGAUGCCCUAGUUGUAUCUGACUCCUGCUUUGCGCCCCACUGCCCAGGAACAAUCCUGGGGUCAAUCGUCGUCUGACAGCCUGGGACGCGUGAACACGAAUCACGGCUCAGGUGGGGUAGCGUGGAAUCCGUGAGUCCAGCAAGUUCUGGGGUUUGCACAACUGGUAGAAAGAACCAGAAGAUUUUGCCAUGCGAGGGGGCUGGUAUGGAAAAGUAGCCGUCAGAUCUCCAUCGUCUCAGACCCUAUAACUAGAGAUUCAAAGCGAGUGUUAAUCAAUAUCUGAAGGGAAGUGGGAGGAAAAUGGAUGAGGCCAGGCUCUUCUCGGUGGUGCGUAGCGGAGGACAAUGAGCAGUGGCCUAGAACUUGAGCACAGGAAGUUCCAUGCAAACAUGUGGAAGACCUUCUUUACGGUAAGGGUGGGGGAGCCCUGGGACGGGUUGCCCAGAGAGGUGGUGGAGGUUAUGACCAGCAUCUCCUCUGGGUUGGGAUGCCUCUCAGGUACUGCCAAAUCCUCGAGGCCCUCUACCAAUGAUAGUGUACCAAGGAUAGUCUACUGUGCUGUGAUCUUCAGGGACGUUUUCAACACAAGCCAUCCUAUUGUUCUGUGAUCUUCAAGGACACUUCCAAGCGUACAAAAAUCCAGUGGUUCUGUGAUCUUCAGGGAGCCAUGCAACACAAACCAUUCCAGCGUUGUGUGAUUUUAGAAGCUGGACGUGAGCCAGCAGUGUGUGCUGGCAGCCCGGAAGGCCAAGUGUGUUCUGGGCUGCGUUAAGAAAGAGGUGGCCAGCAGGGAGAGGGAGGUGGUUGUCCCCCUCUACUCAGCUCUUGUGAGGCCCCAUCUGGAGUACUGCACCCAGGCCUGGGGCCCUGUAUGAGACCUGUUGAACUGCAACUCCACCUGUGUGACCGGAAGGGGUGGAGCCAGGCUCCACCUCUCCUAAACCCCAUUUAAGGGCUGACUGCCACGGAGGAAGGAUCGCUCUCUGAAGAUCACUCCUCUUGGAGCCCUUUUGGCGAGCCCAGGACACGGGUAAGCUUCCUGUUCAUCUCUGAUUAUUCCUUUUCAAAGGCGAUAGUUUCUUAUAUCCGUAUCCUUAUUUGCUCUACAGGCCCCCAGUAGAGGAAGGGUGUGGAGCUGUUGGAGCGGGUCCAGAGGAGGGCCACUAAGAUGAUCAGAGGGCAGGAGCACCUCUCCUAUGAGGAAAGGUUGAGGGAACUGGGCUUGUUUAGCUUGGCGAAGAGAAGGCUCCAGGGGGAGCUCAUUGUGGCCUUCCAGUACUUGAAGGGAGCAGUAUAAACUGGAAGGGGAACGGCUGUUUUUGAGGGUGGAUAGUGGUAGGACAAGGAGGAAUGGUCUUAAACUGAGACAGGGGUGGUUUAGGUUAGAUAUUAGGAGGAAGUUUUUCACCCAGAGGGUGGUGACGCACUGGAACAGGUUGCCCAAGGAGGUUGUGGAUGUCCCGUCGCUGGAGGCAUUCAAGGCCAGGCUGGAAGUGGCUCUGGGCAGCCUGCUCUGGUGGUUGGCGAUCCUGCACAUAGCAGGGGGGUUGAAACUCGAUGGUCAUUGUGGUCCUUUUCAACCCAGGCCAUUCUAUGAUUCUGUGAGAUUUUCCAGGACCCUUCCAAUGCAGGCAUGACUGGGAAGAGGCAGGGCUGCUGCAGCCCCAGCCCACCUGACAUGCGAGAAAAGGUAUCAGCAGUUGUAGGUUUAUUUUUU